rnacentral:tRNA from 2 species
GGCCCUGUAGUGUAGCGGUUAGCAUCAGAGACUCUGGAUCUCUAGACGCCAGUUCAAAUCUGGCCGGGGCUG